rnacentral:rRNA from 1 species
UGAGUACACUUUAAAUAUUUUAACGAGGAACAAUUGGAGGGCAAGUCUGGUGCCAGCAGCCGCGGUAAUUCCAGCUCCAAUAGCGUAUACUAAAAUUGUUGCGGUUAAAAAGCUCGUAGUUGCAUUUGUGCGCCGCGCUGUCGGUGCACCGCAUCCGCGGUGAUACUGACACGUCUGCGGAGCAUAUCGUCGGUGAGCCGGCGGUAACACGCCGGUUCAAUAUAAAAAUCCUAUCGCGGUGCUCUUCAGUGAGUGUCGAGGUGGGCCGACAAUUUUACUUUGAACAAAUUAGAGUGCUCAAAGCGGGCUCAAAAUGCUGCCUGAAUAUUUCGUGCAUGGAAUAAUAGAAUAUGAUCUCGGUUCUAUUUUGUUGGUUUUCAGAACUCCGAGGUAAUGAUUAAUAGGGAUAACUGGGGGCAUUCGUAUUGCGACGUUAGAGGUGAAAUUCUUGGAUCGUCGCAAGACGAACAUCAGCGAAAGCAUUUGCCAAAGGUGUUUUCAUCAAUCAAGAACGAAAGUUAGAGGUUCGAAGGCGAUUAGAUACCGCCCUAGUUCUAACCGUAAAUAUGUCAUCUAGCGAUCCGCCGACGUUACUACAAUGGCUCGGCGGGCAGCUUCCGGGAAACCAAAGAUUUUGGACUCCGGGGGGAGUAUGGUUGCAAAGCUGAAACUUAAAGGAA